rnacentral:lncRNA from 1 species
GUUCUUUCAUCUAGAUAAUUCUGACAUAGAUACGAGGAUUGUGAGGCUAUGGGGUUCUUUAUUGUCCUAUACUUAUCAGAGUAUCAGAAAUGGUAUUUAUUUUGAAUUAAAAAAUCACACAAAACAUGUUUUAAAAAGGUGAGAUACUGUCUUGGGAACAUGUAAUGAAAUCUACUCAAAAUAACACUAAAAUGAGGGUUCUGUUGAACUGGUAUUAGGUAUCAAGCACUAACACAAAGUAGCUCAUUAAGCCCCUCAGAUGUCUCAUGAGCUAAAUUGUUUUUAUCCUAUAUCUGAGAGAAGAAAAAAAUUUUUUUGAGUGACCUUCCAGUUGUGUUGCCUGUAUUAACUGGUAGUUUUUAUGAAUUAAAGGUUCCCCUGUAAUAAUACAUUUUCAUAAUUUUGGUCCCAAAAUUUUGUACACAAACAGCCAACAUGUUGGUUAAUCACAUUGCAAACAUGCUAAUAGUUUAUUUACACUUGCAUUUAAAGGGAAAGGGACCACUUUCUGACUAAAUAAUUUAAAUCUAAAUAUUAAUAUAAGACAGGUAUCUAUUCUUUUGAAGAAUUUAUUCAUUAAGAAAACCUAUAUUCCACUUACUGCUCCUACUCUCUUCUGAGUCAGACCACUCAUUACAGUGUUGGCUCUGAUUAGAAAAUAUAUUAGAAAAUUAAAGAUUUCUUGGCAAUCUCUAAGUCAUGAAUCUGAGACCUAUCUUAUUCAGGGCUUUCAUCUUAAUUUCACUUGGGACAUUUCUGGGAAAUAUAAGAUGCCAAUCUCUAUGGAAAAUUUGGAGCUGUCUCUCCCUAGUCCACAGCAGAAUUUGCCUAGUGUUCUAAAUUCUGUCUCUAAGGCAAACAAAACAGCAGCUAAGGCUCAGUGAGUGUGGACACCUCCAGAUCCUCCAGGAGUAAGAAUGUAGACAGAUUUAUGCAGAGGCUUCCUAUUAGACAUUCACCUUUGGACAGAAUCCAUUCUUUGUCUUCUGUCGUCUGUAGCUCUCAGUUUCGACCACCAGAAUUGAAACUCAAGGACACCAUGGCAUGCAACAAUUUGAGUGAGAAAGAAAAAGUCAGUGUGCCUUAAUCCUCAUUGCCUUUCCAUGUUGGGUUUUAUUGAGCAUAUUAUUACUAAUUUCAAGGAACAGUUUGUUUCUUAACCUUGUUCUAGAAUUUAUUCCACGGAGAGACAAACCAUAUUACAGACAUAUUUUUAAUAGGCAUUUUUCAUGCCAAAUGAGGAAUUGAUUUGAACCAAUUUUUCUCAUAUACAACUGA